rnacentral:rRNA from 1 species
GAUGAACGCUGGCGGCGUGCCUAAUACAUGCAAGUCGAGCGGACGGACGAGAAGCUUGCUUUUCUGAUGUUAGCGGCGGACGGGUGAGUAACGCGUGGAUCACCUACCUAUAAGACUGGGAUAACUUCGGGAAACCGGAGCUAAUACCGGAUAAUAUUUUGAACCGCAUGGUUCAAAAGUGAAAGACGGUCUUGCUGUCACUUAUAGCUGGUUCCGCGCUGCAUGAGCGAGUUGGUAAGGUAACGGCUUACCACGGCAACGAUGCAUAGCAGACCUGAGAGGGUGAUCGGCCACACGGGGACUGAGACACGGUCCAGACUCCUGCGGGGGGCAGGAGUAGGAAAUCUGACGCAAUGGGCGAAAGCCUGACGGAGAAACGCCGCGUGAGUGAUGAAGGUCUUCGGAGCGUAAAACUCUGUUAUGAGGGAAGAACAUAUGUGUAAGUAACUGGGCACAUUGAGAGGGUACCUAAUCAGAAAGCCGCGGAUAACUGUG